UAAUACUGUCUGGUAAUGAUGAU
rnacentral:piRNA from 1 species